GAGUUUGAUCAUGGCUCAGAACGAACGUUAGCGGCGCGCCUAACACAUGCAAGUCGUACGAGAAAGGGGGCUUCGGCUCCCCAGUAAAGUAGGCGCACGGGUGAGUAACACGUGGGUAACCUACCCCUCGAGUGGGGGAGUAACGUUCCGAAAGGAGCGCUAAUACCGCAUAAGACCACGUCCUGGAAUGGAUGAGGUCAAAGCGGGCCUCUGCAUGCAAGCUAUCACUUCAGGAUGAGCCCGCGGCCCAUCAGCUCGUUGGCGGGGUAACGGCCCACCAAGGCAACGACGGGUAGCUGGUCUGAGAGGACGAUCAGCCACACUGGAACUGAGACACGGUCCAGACUCCUACGGGAGGGCAGCAGUGGGGAAUUUUGUCGCAAUGGGCGAAAGCCUGACGCAGCAACGCCGCGUGUGUGAUGAAGGUCUUCGGAUUGUAAAGCACUUUCGACCGGGACGAAAACCCGCCUGGCCAAUAUCCAGCGGCUUGACGGUACCGGGAGAAGAAGCACCGGCUAACUCUGUGCCA
rnacentral:rRNA from 1 species